rnacentral:rRNA from 1 species
AGAAUCAACGCUGGCGGCGUGCCUAACACAUGCAAGUCGAACGAGAAAGGGACUUCGGUCCUGAGUACAGUGGCGCACGGGUGAGUAACACGUGACUAACCUACCCUGGAGUGGGGAAUAACUGAGGGAAACCUUAGCUAAUACCGCAUAAUACCUACGGGUCAAAGGAGCAAUUCGCUUCAGGAGGGGGUCGCGGCCGAUUAGCUAGUUGGCGGGGUAAUGGCCCACCAAGGCAAUGAUCGGUAUCCGGCCUGAGAGGGCGCACGGACACACUGGAACUGAAACACGGUCCAGACUCCUACGGGAGGCAGCAGUGGGGAAUUUGCGCAAUGGGGGAAACCCUGACGCAGCAACGCCGCGUGGAGGAUGAAAUCCCUUGGGAUGUAAACUCCUUUCGAUCGGGACGAUUAUGACGGUACCGGAAGAAGAAGCCCCGGCUAACUUCGCGCCAGCAGCCGC